CUCUCAAACUCUAGCCCCAAUUCUUCUAACUCCCUCUCAAUUUUUUCACUCACUCUGAAACUAACCCAAAAUUUUCACGCUCUCCCUCGCAAACUCUGCCUGAAACUUCAUUUCCCUCUGAAACUCUUGCCCCAAUUACUUCCAGCUCCCUCUCAAUUUUUUCACUCCCUCUCAAACUGUCACCCUAAAACUCCAUCUCCUGGAAAAAUCUCUCCUCACCCUCUCAAUUUUUUUCAGUCCCUCUGAAACUCUCUCUUUCUUCUCUCUCCUUCAUCACUGCCCCAUUCUUGCGAAAAUCCUCCCCCUUUCCCUCUUAGAAUGUUCAUAUUCCCAGAAUACUCUACCCCUAAUUUUUCGUGUAGCAGCCAGAGUCCUCUCUGACCCUAAACUCACUCACUCUCUCUCUAACCCAAAACCCUCUCUGGCUCUAUAUCUGAUUCCAAAUCCCUUUUAUUCUCUUUAACCCCAAACGAGCUCAUUCUUUCUCAUCUAGACAUCCUCUUCGUUCCCAAACCCUCUCACGACUGCAAUCGCAAGAAGAGGUGCCAUGUGAUUGGUUGAAGUUAGAGAAAAAGCUGGGUGAGAGGACGGUGGGAAAGAGAGUGUGCGGUAGAUAGCAGGUGUUCGACUGAUCGUGUGGAU